GAUGAACGCUGGCGGCGUGCUUAACACAUGCAAGUCGAACGAAGCACUUUAUUUGAUUUCCUUCGGGAAUGAUGAUUUUGUGACUGAGUGGCGGACGGGUGAGUAACGCGUGGGUAACCUGCCUUGUACAGGGGGAUAACAGUGGGAAACGGCUGCUAAUACCGCAUAAGCGCACAGCAUCGCCUGAUGCAGUGUGAAAAACUCCGGUGGUAUAAGAUGGACCCGCGUUGGAUUAGCAAGUUGGUGAGGUAACGGCCCACCAAGUCGACGAGCCAUAGCCGACCUGGGCAGGUGACCGGCCACGUUGGGACUGAGCCACGGCCCAGACUCCUACGGGAUGCAGCAGUGGGGAAUAUUGCACAAUGGGCGACAGUCUGAUGCAGCGACGCCGCGUGAGCGGAGAAGUAUUUCGGUAUGUAAUGCUCUAUCAGCAGGGCAGAUAAUGACGGUACCUGACUAAGAAGCACCGGCUAAAUACGUG
rnacentral:rRNA from 1 species